AAGAAACACCCACCAUUUCCCCCAGCAAAUCGGCUGGCCUGUGGAGGAGGGUGACAUGCAGCUGUGCCUUGCCCAGCUCUCUGAGCAUGCCAUGGCUCCAACCUGAGGGUCUGUGAGAAGUGCAGGCUACAACUUGUACAAUGCCUAUGAUUAGACAAUACCACCUAUAGAGAAAGCACUCAUGAAAAUAGACAUUCAGGUAGCUCUUCCUUCUCUGGGUGUUAGGAAGAGUAGUUCCAUGGUCUGGCUUGGCUGCAAAACAUUUUAUUGAUGUAGGAGCUGGUGUCAUAGAUGAAAAUUAUAGAGGAAAUGUUGGUGUUGCACUAUUUAAUUUUGGCAAAGUUUGAAGUCAAAAACAGUGAUCAAAUUGCACAGUUCAGUGCUGAAUGGAUUUUUUUAUCUAGAAAUAGAAGUUCAAGCUUCGGAUGACACUGAAAGGUGUUCAGGAGAUUUUGGUUCCACUAGAAAU
rnacentral:lncRNA from 1 species